ACAGCAGCCGCGGUAAUACAGAGGGUGCGAGCGUUAAUCGGAAUUACUGGGCGUAAAGCGCACGUAGUCGGCUUGCCAAGUCGGGUGUGAAAUCCCCGGGCUCAACCUGGGAACUGCAUCCGAAACUGGCUUGCUAGAGUAUGGGAGAGGGAGGCGGAAUUUCUGGUGUAGCAGUGAAAUGCGUAGAUAUCAGAAGGAACAUCAGUGGCGAAGGCGGCCUCCUGGACCAAUACUGACGAUCAGGUGCGAAAGCGUGGGGAGCAAACAGGAUUAGAUACCCUGGUAGUCCACGCCCUAAACGAUGACAACUGGAUGUCGGGAGGGUUUGCCUUCCGGUGUCGUAGCUAACGCGUUAAGUUGUCCGCCUGGGAAGUACGGCCGCAAGGUUGAAACUUAAAGGAAUUGGCGGGGG
rnacentral:rRNA from 1 species